CUAUUUUGGAAAAUAGUUCCUAUACAACUGUCUGUGGCUAUUCAACAUGAUUCUUAGUCAGCCUGGACUGGAAGAGGAAAACUACGGAUCACUCAGGCGAGGGGCCUUCAUAUUGUUUUGUGGUUUGUUCCAUUGAGAAGACAAGGGGCAAGGGCAAACAGAGGAGUAAGGGUAGUGGGCUGGGCCAUGAUUCAGAGGAACCUGUAGUUCUGCUUUUUCUUUUCUUUCUCUAGUUGCAGAUGCCGUUAAAGUGAAAGACUGAUUCUAGGAUGUAGGGGAAAGACCAUUUGGAGGAAUCCUGGAAACAAGUGCAAAGAUAGAAGUGCAUAUGGGAAAAUAGACCUGCUACUCUUGAGUGGUUCACCUCAUGUGGAUGGCAGUGACCUCUGGGAGUCCGUUCAUUUACCCAUCCAUUCAGUCCACUCACAUUAUGGAGCCCUGUGAUAUGCCAAGGAAUCAAAUAAAGAAGCUCGCUGCUUCUGUGAACUUUCAGCCUGGCGGAGGAGGCAGACCAGCAGGACACGGAUGCUUAUGUAAUGGGCACCUGUAUUGCAUUAUAUUCUCGAGAACUGAGCGUCUGGGAAGGAGAGUAAUCUGCACCCCCUCCCCCAAAGGAAGGUGGAGACAAGCCUAGGGUGACUUCUGUACCAGGGGGAUUCAGCACUGUGGUUUACCUUGUCGGCGGGAUACACAGCUCAUCAGAUUCGGACUCUUACUUUCUAGAGAAGACAGUGGCUCACAGGGGCUCAGGGCCUCUUAUGAAUGAGGAGCUCGCAUGGAAGGUAGGACUGGUUCAACGUUGCUAUUCUACGAAUACCUCUACAUGUUGCUGUUUAAAAAUAAAUAAAUAAAACCCAGUAAUACCCACUUAGUUUGUAAAUUAUGCGAGUGCCCAAAGGUUACAUGAGUUCAUCCACAUUCCUCAUGUUCCUUGAGUUCCACCCCCUACUCCUUUUUAGAUGAAAAACUCAGAGGUGAAAUAGACAGUGAGAAGGUGGCUAUGGUGAUACACGCAUGCCUUUAGUCCUAGCACUGGGGAGGCAGAGGUAGGUGGACCUCUGAGAUCUAGGCUAGCCUGGUUUACAGGGCUAGGUCUAAAACAGCCAGGGCUACAUAGAGAAACUCUGUUUUGAAAAACAAAUAAAGAAAGAAAAAAGAAGAGAAAGGAAAAAGAAAGAAAUAUGUAGCGAGAAUGUUCUAUUAUAACACAAUAAAACAAACUCUCUAAAUGACACAUUUUCUAAGGAAGCAAUCACACUUUAAUGUGUUUUUAAAUUUGGAGUUCUGUAUUUUGAGGGCUCUCAAGGGAGUGCACACUUGUAUGUAGCAGUUUACUUACUCCUUUUAAUAUGUCCUUCUACAUUCUUAUAAUCAAGCACAAAGUGCAGUUAUUUAAUUCUCUAGUAAAAUGUCAUCUGCAGGGUAAUAUCCAUAUUUCGAACUAAUGGAAAAAUACUGUGCAAUGGGGAGAUGAAGAUAGUACCCGUGGCUCCGUCAAAGGGUGACUCUGACAUUUGCUGUUACCCAUUGCUUCAAAUUAGGUCUGACUGUAAGUAUGUGACUUCCAUCUUCUGGCC
rnacentral:lncRNA from 1 species